rnacentral:rRNA from 1 species
GCAAGUCGAACGCGAACGAGUUCUUCGGAAUUUAGAGUAGAGUGGCGAACGGGUGAGUAACGCGUGGGAAUUUACCUUUAAAUGGGGGAUAGCCCAGGGAAACCUGGAUUAAUACCGCAUGUGAUGCUUCGGCAUUAAAGAUGGCCUCUAUUUAUAAGCUAUCGUUUAAAGAUAAGCCUGCGUCCUAUUAGUUAGUUGGUUAGGUAAUGGCUGACCAAGGCGAUGAUAGGUAGGCGGCCUUAACGGGUGGUC